rnacentral:rRNA from 1 species
AGUGGGGAAUAUUGGACAAUGGGGGCAACCCUGAUCCAGCAAUGCCGCGUGUGUGAAGAAGGCCCGAGGGUUGUAAAGCACUUUCAGUGGGGAGGAAAGGCCAUAAGUUAAUAGCUUGUGGAGAUGACGUUACCCACAGAAGAAGCACCGGCUAACUCUGUGCCAGCAGCCGCGGUAAUACAGAGGGUGCGAGCGUUAAUCGGAAUUACUGGGCGUAAAGCGCGCGUAGGUGGAUGUACAAGUUGGAUGUGAAAGCCCCGGGCUCAACCUGGGAAUGCCAUUCAAAACUGUACGUCUAGAGUAUAAUAGAGGUAAGUGGAAUUUCCGGUGUAGCGGUGAAAUGCGUAGAUAUCGGAAGGAACAUCAGUGGCGAAGGCGACUUACUGGAUUAUAACUGACACUGAGGCGCGAAAGCGUGGGGAGCAAA